GACCUCAAAUCGGGUGGGACUACCCGCUGAACUUAAGCAUAUCAAUAAGCGGAGGAAAAGAAACUAACAAGGAUUCCCCUAGUAACGGCGAGUGAAGAGGGAAAAGCUCAAUUUUGAAUCUGGUGUCUUUGACUCCCGAGUUGUAAUCUAGAGAAGUGUUUUCCGUGUCGGACCGUGCACAAGUUCCCUGGAACGGGGCGUCAUAGAGGGUGAGAAUCCCGUAUAUGGCAUGGACUACCGAUGCUUUUGCGAUACACUCUCAACGAGUCGAGUUGUUUGGGAAUGCAGCUCAAAAUGGGUGGUAAAUUCCAUCUAAAGCUAAAUAUUGGCGAGAGACCGAUAGCGAACAAGUACCGUGAGGGAAAGAUGAAAAGCACUUUGGAAAGAGAGUGAAACAGUACGUGAAAUUGUUGAAAGGGAAGCGU
rnacentral:rRNA from 1 species